rnacentral:rRNA from 1 species
UACGUAGGGCGCAAGCGUUGUCCGGAAUUAUUGGGCGUAAAGAGCUCGUAGGCGGUUUGUCGCGUCUGCUGUGAAAACCCGAGGCUCAACCUCGGGCCUGCAGUGGGUACGGGCAAACUAGAGUGCGGUAGGGGAGAAUGGAAUUCCUGGUGUAGCGGUGGAAUGCGCAGAUAUCAGGAGGAACACCGAUGGCGAAGGCAGUUCUCUGGGCCGUAACUGACGCUGAGGAGCGAAAGCGUGGGGAGCGAACAGG